rnacentral:piRNA from 1 species
UGGGAGACAGCAGUGACACUGCCAGGUAC